ACAUUAGAAUCACCAUAGAGCUUUAAAAACACCAGUGCUGUAGGUCUCACCCAGAGAGUCUAAUUUCAUCAGCCGGGAGGAGAGCCUAGCCAUUAAAAUAUAAGCUUUCUAGGUGAUUCCGUGUGUUCAGUCAGAUGGAGAACCACCAUCUAGAUGGUAAUAGAUUCUUUUUUUCUAUUUCCUAGUCAAGGGUUAUAUAUACAUACUAGUUUCACCAUUUGUGAAACACAAUAAAUAAGAAGAGAAAACAAGAUCAGUAGUUCUCAAAUACUGGUCCUCCUAAUACUCAACUGGUUUGGGAACCAUCGGGCCCAGUGAUCUCUGAUGCUCCUUCCAACUUGUAGGAUGUGAAUUCCUGUGUUUAGUUAUAUAAGAGAAGGCAGAGCAAGAUGGCCAAAUAGAAGCCUCCAGCAAUUAUACCCCCCACAGGAACAACAAAUUAAGCAACACAAACAAGAAAAUCACCUUCAUAAAAUUGAGAAAUCAGCUAGGAAUGACCAAGGCAAAACUUCCAUCUACUUGCAUCAGAAUGGAGACGCAGAUGCAGAUGACGAAUUAAAGGGACUCAAGGAAGGUCACUAUUCUGCCUUGAAUUUGUUUUCAUGGUUCUCCGAGAAGUGUCUAGAGGUG